ensembl:lncRNA
GAAAUGGGAAGCAAUCCAGGCAACUUUAAAAACAAAACAUGGAGAGUUUUAAAACCUGCUACUUACAGGAUACAUCAUUGAGAAAGCACAGCAAUACAGAGAAAGUAAAAUUAUGUAACAUGAAAUGGUAUAGAGUAGGACUCCUUCUUGACUUAAUUAUAUCAAAUGGUCAACUGGUUCAAGUUUUGGAAGUUCUACAAUAUAAUUCUCUUUCUACAGUUGUGAUUUUGAUUGGUUUGUGUGUAUGCACAUGUGGAUGAAGUAAUGAAGGGAAAAGUUGUAAGUAUUUGUACUCAACUCAAUUUAAUCCAAAUGUUCAAAACUUUUUUUUUUCAUAUUUUAAUAGUACAAAUGAAGAGAUAUGGAAUGUGGGUUUGCACAACGAAGGCAUGCUAGUAGUGUUUAGUUAUCAUUCCAGUUUUAGUGUAUGUGCUAAGAAAGCAAACACGGCCCAAACUAUAAACAGAGGUCCUCAAACUUUUUAAAUAGGGGGCCAAUUCACUGUCCCUCAGACUGUUGGAGGGCCGGACUAUAGUAAAAACAAAAACUUUGUUUUGUGGGCCUUUAAAUAAAGAAACUUCAUAGCCCUAGGUGAGGGGGAUAAACGUCCUCAGCUGCCGCAUCUGGCCUGUGGGACAUAGUUUGAGGUCCCUUGCUAUGAGAGUCUACCUACUGUGAUUAAUGAAAGCUUGUUAUACUUUUAUAUACAUAUGUCUUAAUUUCAUAAUUUUAUCUUUUCUGUAGGAAGCAAGUUUUUUCAGAUCAGUUCUAUAAUAUCUUUAAUAAAGUCCUAGCAAAUAAUAUGAAAACAUACAAAUGCACAAUUAAUGAUUUUGCUACUUUUCAUGUCAUAUUAACUCCCAAUUUUCUAUAAUAUACAUAAUUCAGCUUAUUUGGCAUAAAUGUUGGGCAUCUUCCAGCACCCUAGUUUAAUCAUUUUAAAAAGACAAAAACAUUUUUUUUAACAUUUUAAUGAGAAUUAAAAAAAAAAAAACUUUUAUUCUUAAAAUGACUUAAUAUUUAGCAUGGUCUCUUUUACCCACUAAUACAGCUAGACCUUGGACACUAGUAAUAACUAGUAAUAGUUAAAACAUAAUAUUCCUAAAAUAAUGAACUAGUUGUAAUUUACAAUUUUUAAAAAAAAAAACUAUAAAUGGGCAAACAUAUCUCAAACUACUGAAUUCACCUUCCUCAAUGAAUGGGUUAUUUUCCAGAUAGUGUCAUUAUUUUAAUCUAGAAUAAAGUGACCCCAAAUAUUUACAGACAAUAAUACAUGUAGCUGUUUAGAAAUAUAAUCAUUUUUCUGUAAACAAAUCAGAUUUGUCAAAUUUAACUUACAUAUUCAAAUUAAGUGCAAAGAUAAGUAUCUUCUUUAAAUAUCUCCCAGGAUAGUAAUUUAACAUUAAAAAACAAGAUUGUGGCAUUUCUCCUCUUUGGAAAAAAAAAUCCAAGUGAAAUAUUAAUACCCAAAUGCAUUUUUAUCUUUUGGAUGUCCAUAAUUUUAUAAGUUCUCGGGAAAUUUGGUAAGGAAAAUGAAUCUGCACAAAAAGCCAAGUUUCUAUCUAAAUUCUAGCAUGUCUUAAAGAGUUUGACUAAUUGGAUAUAUUCUAAUAUAUUAAACAUGGAUAUAUAUGUAUGUGUGUAUAUAUAUAUAUAUAUAUAUAUAUAUAUAUAUAUAUAUAUAUAAACUUGUACGUGUGUGCACGCUUGUGUGCCUCAUUGUACAUCUUGCUCACAAGAUGCUCUCUUGAAUCUACUACAUUUCUAAGAACUACAAAGAAGGAAAGGGAAGGAGAAAGGGAAAAAAAAGGAUGGACAGACAUACUAUUUCAGGUCAAAGGCUUCAUACUAUGGCUGUGCCUAUGUCAUCUAAAUUGAGUAACCUCAAUUAGGAUAACUAAUUAUUAAUACUUUUAAAGUAUUUUUAUUGACUAUUUUGGUACCAUGAAGACAAAGAUCAUAUGCUAUGUAGACAUGACAAAUUUCCAUGCAAGCCUUAAUGCUCAAUGCCUCAUGUUAAAUGCCUUUAAAUGCUGUGAUACAUAAAAUAGUCACACUAUUUCAAUUUGAAUAUUCUGCUUAGAAAGAUAAGAACCAGACUAUCAGUUCAGAAUACAGAACUACAAAAAAAAAAAAAAAAAUUAAAACUACAUCAGCCAUGUUAAGUUCUACUUUUGAAGUAAGAUUUUUCCCUGAGCUUUUUGAGGAAGAUUAGAUAAAGAGCACCCCAAAUUUAUUAUACACCAAAGUUUAGUCAUCCAAGUCAUCCCCCUUUCCAUGAGAUAGCUUAAACCAAAUGUUAGGUACCUGUUCGCACUUUAAGAUUAUGCUUCCCAACUGCGUUGUUAGAUGUGAAAGCAAGAAUGCUUUAUUUAAAUGAAAUUAACUAUUAGAAUGAGAAACUAGUUAAAAGUUUUCAUACCUUUUCUGCCCACCAAAAUUCACGGGUAGAAUUUUUUUUUGGGGGGAGGAGAAGAAAAAAGGGGGAAGAGACAGUAAGGUUGGGGAGAAAGGUUAGGGUAAGAAAUUAUACUUUAUAUAACUUUAAAGCAAAUGGUGGAGGAAAAUUCUGUCAGUUCCAAAUAAUGCAAUUUUGGACUAAGAGUAUUGAAACUGGUUUGCUUUGCAAAGAAUAAUCAAAAUAAGUAGAUAAUUCUCUUGAUCAUUUUCUAUCCAUUAUCAUAAGCAUAAGAAGGAAAUAUAAGUUGUAAGAAAACCACUUUGGUCUGCUGCUUAAAAGAGUAGUGGUGACAGUUAUAGUAGUGCAAGUCUAUGACAUUUAUGUAAAUCUAUUUUCUUUCAGUCUAUCUACAAAGUCUCAGAAAAUAAAUGUUAGGCCAUUGAUAUAUACUGGCUAUAUUCCCUCUUUUUUCUCUUCUGUGCAGUGUUAUCCUCUGCUAGUUCCUUUCAAGGGAAAUCCUACACUUCUUUCAAAAUCCAGUUCAAGAUAUAACUACUGUGUUAACACACCCUACUGAAAACUUUUUCCUUACUCUGAAAUUCCAUGGCAGCAUCAUCUUUAUCACAGUACCCUACAUUUCUUUAUAUUCUGAAUUUACAUUAAUUUUUUCUAGUGUUUUUUGUAAGUCAUCUCAUCUAGAUUGAUUAUAUUCUGAUAUAUAUAUAUAUAUAUAUGAAAUCAGAGUUCACUUGAUCAGUACACUUAUAUUUCAGAUGAAUUAUACAAGUAAGGAUCCAUUUAUGAAGUCAUUAUUUUAUACUACCAACUAGUUAGAAGAAACAUGGUUUUCAUAAAACUUUGAGUUUCACCUGUUUAAAAGAAAUUUUGAAAAAAAAAAAGCUCAAACAUAAAACUAUGGAAUAGAAAUUAAAUGAAAUUCAAAAGUAAAGGAAAUAAUCAGCACCUAUUCUUUUACUCUGGCAUUGUUAAGAAACUAAACCAAACAGGGGGGAAAAAUACUUUCUCUCCAAAUGAAUUGUCUGUUUUACCAAAAGGCAAUCACUAACAGAAACUCCAUAACUACUCCAUAAAUCUGAUAAAAAGUAUGAUUUGAAAAAAAAACAAUGUUAUGAUUAAAAAUAAAACAUUUCAAUAAUUAUCUAUUAGGCACCUACUUGUUAAAAGGCACUGUGCCAUAUACAAAGGACAUAAGAGAAUGACAACAGUUUUUGCCUACUCUCAAAGAUCUUAGAAUCUGAUGAAAGGCACCUAACAUAUAUUCCAAUACAUACAAAUGGUAGAAUGUGAUAAAAGCCAGAGAAGCAUUUUGAAGCACUCUAAAGACAAUGGUGUUGUAUUCAAAAAGAAACUGGAGGCAUUAAACUGUAUACAAGAAUCCCAAUGAACUGCAUAUUGACUUAGUUUUAUAAUAUCUAUUUUUAUUGUAUUUUUAUUUAUUUUAUUUGCCAAUUACAUUUUAAUUUGGUUCAGGCCACUCUUGGGAAUUUUAUGACACUGCUGUUGUAAGAGAUAAAGGGAGAUAUUUUAAAAGAAAAUACAAUUUAGAUAGAUGGUAUUUGUCAUAACUUGGUACUCUAUAGGGUCUAUAUUUAAAUUCCACUUUAAAGCAGUGACGCCACUGAAAUUUUUUUUUAAUCUGAGACAAGUCAUUGUUACUUGAAUCUCAGAUUUUAUAGUAUUACAGAACUUUUGAGAUCUGGUUUGAGCCUGUACCCAAAAUGAGAGUACCGUUUAAUUUCUAAAAUGAGGAGGCUGGCAUAGAUCUAUAGUUCCUACCUUAGAGUUUGUGAACUUGUUUUUAAAAAGUAUUUUAAUAAUUGUAUUUUAAUAUAACUGAUUUUAUUUUGUGCAUUUAAAAACAUUAUUUUGAGAAAGGGUCCCAUAGGUUUCACUAAACAACUAUAAGGGACCAUGAUACCACAAAGUGAAAACCGGUGGCUUAGUUGAUUCUAUUUAUGUGAAAUGAACUCUCUUCUAGGUCUCUAAUUUAAUGUUCUAAUAAUCUUUUGUCCGGGAAAGAAAAUGGAUGUCUUAUUACAUAGAAAGUUAGGAUUGUCUAUUAAAUGAGACCAUAAAUGUAAAACUAUUUUGAAAAGGAAAUUUUUAGAGAAUUGGGCCUGUGAUUUCAUCACUGUAUGAAGUUCCCCAGGGAAGAAAAUCCUCCGCUAAAGCAGCCCAUAAGCAUCUCUUUUAAAAUUUGGCCUCUCAGUGCCCAAGGAAACCCUUGAAGAGAUUGUAAGUGACUGACCCAGGGUCUCACAGACAGAAUGUAUCAUAGGGGAGAUUUGAACUCAGAUGUUUUUGAUUCUGAGGCCAGUUCCACGUUCACUAGGCCAUAUGGCUUCUUUGAUGAGUGUAAAACAUUAAAAUGUAAAGAAAACACACUCACAUGGAACAUCUAGUGUGAACAAUUAAGAUAAUGAAAAUAGAAUUUUAUUUCAUCUUGAAAUAAACACUAGUCAUAAUAAAGACUAGUAACCUCUAGGCAGAGCCAUAUCUGAAAGUCUGUCUAAUUUCUGCAACUCAAAUCUGAUGAAAAAAACAGCUGCUUAUCCCUUCCUUGGAUAGCAAGAGUCUUAUUUUGUUUGUUACUAGUGAGCUUUUUCUCAUUUCGAGCUCUAACAAAUAUUUAUCUGAUCUGUUUGGCCUAAUACCUUGUUAAAAUAUGGCUGGUAGAGAAUGGUUAGAGGGUGAUACAAAUGAACAUGUAAACCAUAAGAUUAAGCCAGCAGUAUGAACCUAGGCUCCUGAAAGAUAGCAAAUUAAAAAAGGUUUCAAAACAAGUCCUUAACCAUAAGACAGAAUUAAUGAGGCUGGGUAUGCUUAUUUCCCAUUCUACCUCUGGACUAAUCUGCAGUAUCUUGUUAAAAACACUCUCUUCAGUAAUUAAGUAAAUAUAAUUCUGAUGACAACAAUGGUUGCAAUUCUAGGAAAAUCGGUAUUUAGAGGCUUUUAUGUUUUUCACGUGGUGAAUAGUGAUAACUAGCAUCAAAUGAGUCAAGUGCUAAAAAAAAAAAAAAACCCAGUAAUUUUUCAAUGCUGCCUACAUAUAACUAAAAAGAAAAAACACAAAAUAUAUUAAAUGACAAAAAUUUUAAACUAAAAGUUCAGAUAAAGUGCUUCUCUAACAUCAUUUUCUAAAGCCUAAUGGUCUAUAAUUUCAAAAUACACCAACAAAGAAAUGUUACAGAUUUAAACAUCCGCAAACUACAAAUGAUAGAUAAAAAAAAUGCCUAAAGCAGUUUGCAGCAUUUGAUCUUUCCAAUAAAC